CUCCUUUUUGUUAAUCUUUUGAGUCGAGAUGAGUAUGUCUGGGAACUGCCUGAUGGAGGGGGAUAACUACUGGAAACGGUAGCUAAUACCGCAUAACGUCGCAAGACCAAAGAGGGGGACCUUCGGGCCUCUUGCCAUCGGAUGUGCCCAGAUGGGAUUAGCUUGUUGGUGGGGUAACGGCUCACCAAGGCGACGAUCCCUAGCUGGUCUGAGAGGAUGACCAGCCACACUGGAACUGAGACACGGUCCAGACUCCUACGGGAGGCAGCAGUGGGGAAUAUUGCACAAUGGGCGCAAGCCUGAUGCAGCCAUGCCGCGUGUAUGAAGAAGGCCUUCGGGUUGUAAAGUACUUUCAGCGGGGAGGAAGGGAGUAAAGUUAAUACCUUUGCUCAUUGACGUUACCCGCAGAAGAAGCACCGGCUAACUCCGUGCCAGCAGCCGCGGUAAUACGGAGGGUGCAAGCGUUAAUCGGAGUUAGUGGGCGUAAAGCGCACGCAGGCGGUUUGUUAAGUCAGAUGUGAAAUCCCCCGGGCUAAAAGUCAGAUGUGAAAUCCCCCGGGCUA
rnacentral:rRNA from 1 species